UACGCCCUUCGGGGGAAAGAUUUAUCGCCGAGAGAUUAGCCCGCGUCCGAUUAGCUAGUUGGUAAGGUAACGGCUUACCAAGGCUACGAUCGGUAGCUGGUCUGAGAGGAUGAUCAGCCACACUGGGACUGAGAUACGGCCCAGACUCCUACGGGAGGCAGCAGUGAGGAAUAUUGCGCAAUGGGCGAAAGCCUGACGCAGCAACGCCGCGUGGGGGAUGACGCACUAUGGUGUGUAAACCUCUGUAGGUAGGGAAGAACGGCAUGGUUUCGUAAGGGGUCAUGCAUGACGGUACCUAUAAAGUAAGCUCCGGCUAACUCCGUGCCAGCAGCCGCGGUAAUACGGGGGGAGCGAGCGUUGUCCGGAAUUACUGGGCGUAAAGGGCGUGUAGGCGGCCGGGUAAGUCAGAUGUGAAAGCCUUCCGCUUAACGGAAGAACGGCAUUUGAUACUGUCCGGCUUGAGUGCGAGAGNGGGGUAGUNGGAAUUCCCANGUGUAGCCGGUGAAAUGCGNUAGAUAUUNGGGAGGAACACCCGUANGCGAAGGCGGCUACCUGGCUCGUAACUGACGCUAAGGCGCGAAAGCGUGGGGAGCAAACAGGAUUAGAUACCCUGGUAGUCCACGCCGUAAACGAUGGGUACUAGAUGUUGGUUUCGCCUAAGAGAUCAGUGUCGCAGCAAACGCAUUAAGUACCCCGCCUGGGGAGUACGAUCGCAAGGUUGAAACUCAAAGGAAUUGACGGGGGCCCGCACAAGCGGUGGAGCAUGUGG
rnacentral:rRNA from 1 species